rnacentral:rRNA from 1 species
CCUACGGGUGGCAGCAGUGAGGAAUAUUGGUCAAUGGCCGGAAGGCUGAACCAGCCAAGCCGCGUGAAGGACGAAGGUGCCAAGCAUUGUAAACUUCUUUUGUCAAGGGACAAAAUCAGGCUCGAGAGCCUGACCGAGGGUACUUGAAGAAAAAGCAUCGGCUAACUCCGUGCCAGCAGCCGCGGUAAUACGGAGGAUGCGAGCGUUAUCCGGAUUUAUUGGGUUUAAAGGGUGCGUAGGCGGACUGUUAAGUCAGCGGUAAAAGCCCGGGGCUAAACCCCGGCGAGCCGUUGAAACUGGGUGGCUUGAGAGGUGGAGAGGUAUGCGGAAUGCGUAGUGUAGCGGUGAAAUGCUUAGAUAUUGCGCAGAACUCCGAUUGCGAAGGCAGCAUACCGGCGGCGAUCUGACGCUGAGGCACGAAAGCGUGGGUAUCGAACAGGAUUAGAUACCCGAGUAGUC